GACGUAGGGCGCGAGCGUUGUCCGGAUUUAUUGGGCGUAAAGAGCUCGUAGGCGGCUUGUCGCGUCGUUCGUGAAAACUUGGGGCUCAACCCCAAGCUUGCGGUCGAUACGGGCAGGCUAGAGUUCGGUAGGGGAGACUGGAAUUCCUGGUGUAGCGGUGAAAUGCGCAGAUAUCGGGAGGAACACCUAUGGCGAAGGCAGCUCGCUGGGACGUUACUGACGCUGAGACGCGAAAGCGUGGGGAGCAAACAGG
rnacentral:rRNA from 1 species